GACGAAGAACGUAGCGAAAUGCGAUACGUAGUGUGAAUUGCAGAAUUCAGUGAAUCAUCGAAUCUUUGAACGCACAUUGCACCUCUCGGUAUUCCGGGAGGUAUGCCUGUUCGAGCGUCAUUUGUACCCUCAAGCUCUGCUUGGUGUUGGGUGUUUGUUCCGCCUCUGUGUGUGAACUCGCCUCAAAACAAUUGGCAGCCGGCGUACUUGUUUCGGAGCGCAGCACAUUUUGCGAUCCAGAUCAACGUACAGCGGCAUCCAAGAAGCCUUAUUUAACGCUCUUGACCUCGGAUCAGGUAGGGAUACCCGCUGAACUUAAGCAUAUCAAUAAGCGGAGGA
rnacentral:misc_RNA from 1 species